GACGAACGCUGGCGGCGUGCUUAACACAUGCAAGUCGAACGGAAAGGCCUGCUUUCCCUUGUGGAUUGCGGGUACUCGAGUGGCGAACGGGUGAGUAACACGUGAGUGAUCUGCCCCCAACUUGGGUAUAAGCCUGGGAAACUGGGUCUAAUUCCCGAUAGGACUGCAGGGUGGUGCCUGUGGUGGAAAACGAUUUUCUAGUGGUUGGGGAUGAGCUCGCGGCCUAUCAGCUUGUUGGUGGGGUAAUGGCCUACCAAGGCGGCGACGGGUAGCCGGCCUGAGAGGGUGGACGGCCACAUUGGGACUGAGAUACGGCCCAGACUCCUACGGGAGGCAGCAGUGGGGAAUAUUGCACAAUGGGCGGAAGCCUGAUGCAGCGACGCCGCGUGGGGGAUGACGGCCUUCGGGUUGUAAACUCCUUUCGACCGCGAGGAAGCCACCUGGUUGGAAGGGUGGUGACGGUAGUGGUAGAAGAAGCACCAGCUAACUACGUG
rnacentral:rRNA from 1 species